AUUGAACGCUGGCGGCAGGCCUAACACAUGCAAGUCGAACGGUAGCACAGAGAGCUUGCUCUCGGGUGACGAGUGGCGGACGGGUGAGUAAUGUCUGGGAAACUGCCUGAUGGAGGGGGAUAACUACUGGAAACGGUAGCUAAUACCGCAUAACGUCGCAAGACCAAAGAGGGGGACCUUCGGGCCUCUUGCCAUCAGAUGUGCCCAGAUGGGAUUAGCUAGUAGGUGGGGUAACGGCUAACCUAGGCGACGAUCCCUAGCUGGUCUGAGAGGAUGACCAGACACACUGGAACUGAGACACGGUCCAGACUCCUACGGGAGGCAGCAGUGGGGAAUAUUGCACAAUGGGCGCAAGCCUGAUGCAGCCAUGCCGCGUGUAUGAAGAAGGCCUUCGGGUUGUAAAGUACUUUCAGCGGGGAGGAAGGCGAUAAGGUUAAUAACCUUGUCGAUUGACGUUACCCGCAGAAGAAGCACCGGCUAACUCCGUGCCAGCAGCCGCCGUAAGAC
rnacentral:rRNA from 1 species